CUCCGGCAGACGCAUUCCCGGGCAGGUGACCAAGCACGGUCCCUCGUGGGACUGGAUUCGCCAUUUUCUUAUAUCUGCUGCUAAAUCGCCAAGCCCGGAAGAUUAGGGUUGUUUCUGGGAUUCCUGUAGACACACCCACCCACAUACACACAUAUAUAUAUAUUAUAUAUAUAAAUAAAUAUAUAUGUUUUAUAUAUAAAAUAUAUAUAUAUUCUUUUUUUUAAAUUAACUCUGCUAAUGUUAUUGGUGUCUUCACUGGAUAUGUUUGACUGCUGUGGACUUGUGUUGGGAGGAGGAUGUCCUCACUCGGAUGCCGACACGGGAGACAAUGGGAUGAAAGGCUUCAGUGUGGUCUGAGAGAGGCCGAAGUCCUUUUGCCUGCCGGGGAGCAAGCAAGGCCAGGGCACGGGGGCACAUUGGCUCACUUCCAGAAACACGACAAACCCAUUCCUGGCCCUGAGUCAAGAGGACAGAGAGACAGAUGAUGACAGAGAAAGAGAUAAAGAUGCCGGUUCCAACCAGAAGUUUGGGGAGCCUCAGGACAUGGCAUGCUUUGUGGAUCCCCAUGAUAGUCUACAAAAGCACCCCGCCCCUCUGGGCACUGCCUGGAAGAAUCGGGAGCCUGGCCAGCCUUCAGCUCGCUCCUCCACUUCUGAGGGGCCUAGGAGGCCUCCCACAGGUGUCCCGGCAAGAGAAGACACGGUGGUGGAAGAAGAGGCCUGGUAAUGGCCCCUCCUCCUGGGACCCCUUCGUCCUCUCCUUACCCCACCUCCUGGGUACAGCCCAGGAGGACCUUGUGUGAUCAGACCAUUGAAACCACUAAUUCUGUCCCCAGGAGACUUGGCUGUGUGUGUGAGUGGCUUACCCUUCCUCAUCUUCCCUUCCCAAGGCACAGAGCAAUGGGGCAGGACCCGCAAGCCCCUCACGGAGGCAGAGAAAAGAGAAAGUGUUUUAUAUACGGUACUUAUUUAAUAGCCCUUUUUAAUUAGAAAUUAAAACAGUUAAUUUAAUUAAAGAGUAGGGUUUUUUUCAGUAUUCUUGGUUAAUAUUUAAUUUCAACUAUUUAUGAGAUGUAUCUCUCGCUCUCUCUUAUUUGUACUUGUGUGUGUGUGUGUGUGUGUGUGUGUGUGUGUGUGUGUGUGUGUAUGAAAUCUGUGUUUCCAAUCUCUCUCUCCCAGAUCGGUGACAGUCACUAGCUUGUCCUGAGAAGAUAUUUAAUUUUGCUAACACUCAGCUCUGCCCUCCCUUGUCCCCACCACACAUUCCUUUGAAAUAAGGUUUCAAUAUACAUUUACAUACUAUAUAUAUAUUUGGCAACUUGUGUUUGUAUAUAAAUAUAUAUAUAUAUAUAUAUGUUUAUGUAUAUAUGUGAUUCUGAUAAAAUAGACAUUGCUAUUCUGUUUUUUAUAUGUAAAAACAAAACAAGAAAAAUAGAGAAUUCUACAUACUAAAUCUCUCUCCUUUUUUAAUUUUAAUAUUUGUUAUCAUUUAUUUAUUGGUGCUACUGUUUAUCCGUAAUAAUUGUGGGGGAAAAAGAUAUUAACAUCACGUCUUUGUCUCUAGAGCAGUUUUCCGAGAUAUUCCGUAGUACAUAUUUAUUUUUAAACAGCAACAAAGAAAUACAGAUAUAUCUUAAAAAAAAAAGCAUUUUGUAUUAAAGAAUUGAAUUCUGAUCU
rnacentral:lncRNA from 1 species